CUGAGAUCAUGUGCAUAAGUUAAAAAUCUGCUGUGUAUCAAGCUCUGGGUUAGCCCUGAGAGAUGCUGAGACAGCAGUGAGAAAAGCUGUCACACAACUCAGGAAACUGAGCCCUGAGGGGCUGAGUCAUUUGACUCCAUAACCAUCCCCAAGUCCAGACUGGAACUGGAAUUCAUUCUGCGCAUCCCAGCCUGAGACGCACCGACAUGUUCCACAGAGGGUACGCGUCCGUUCCCCAGCCUUCACGCUACCCAACUCCUGUUCCAUUCAGCCAGACCACGGCGCUCUGCUGCCUGGUACAAGGGUGGCUGCGUGUCCUGUGACAACCAAAGACAAAGGGAAGCAGGAAAGUGAGCCUGGGGCCCUCUGUGACCUGGGUGCUCCGGGCCGGUGUCCUGUGUACCUGAGCAGCGUCCUUUUCCGGGAACUCAGAAGCUUCGGGCUCCAGCCGGCCUGGUCGGUUUCUGCCCCUCACACCAUUCAUUCCCUCACUUACAUAAGAAAAG
ensembl:lncRNA